rnacentral:lncRNA from 1 species
GCAUGAGGUGUGAUGCCAUUUUCCCUUCCAGUCAUCUGCGUAAUAUGUGCAACCAAAGGAGGUAUGAUCAUAGGAUUCCACACUUCACAAUCGCAUAACAGAAACAAGCCAGAUUAUCCACACCAAAGUUUAUCCAUAGCUCAUUUGAAACAGCCACAAACCUGUCCCAUACCCAGUUCGGUUAAUAACCAACGUGCUUGCAUCAUAUGCAUUACAGAUUGUUCUCCUACUCGCUACUUAAGAAAACAUUUUGCAAUUAUGAAAAUCUAGUUGGAUUGAUUCAGUCAUCUCCUAUGCACUAGCCUUCGGCUUUAUGAUGGAUGCUGACAUGGUCCGCCUAGAUUUUAACCUGUUGAAAAAGUAAACAUUUAUAUGUUAGAAUAGCAGCAUUGAUCAUACACAAGUAUUUCGAAUAAAGAUUUUUUAUAUUUAAUUAAUAAGUAUGCAUGAGUAUACUAUAUUUUUAUGUAUCAACAGUUAGGCAUUAGGCCUUGUUAACAGAAUUCAGUUAUAAAUGGAUCACGGCCCCCUCUUGUAGUAUCAUUAGGUCAUUGUUAACAGAAUCCUGCUAUAAAAUGAUCAUGGCCCCCUCCUGGAGCAUCACUGGACCCGCAAUUUCCUCAAUCUGGUAAUAUUAUUUGGCCGCAGACCUCCAAGGGCAAACACCCCACUCAACCAGCUAAAGCUGAAAGGCCAGCAGAACUUCCAAGUGCAAACAUCUCACCUCAGGGAGUUGUGCCAAGUGCAAACAUCUCACCUCAGGGAGUUGUGUACAGUAAAUCUAUCAACCGGUUGGUUCAGUUGCAAGCAUAGUGCAAGUCCAUGGCUUAGAUUUCACAAUAAGAAAGGUGAACCUUGGCACCGUAAGAGUACCAGCAUAGAGUUCCACCGGUCGUGAUGACAUCUGUGAAGGCAAACUCAACAUAUAUGUAGGGCACGUCAUCGCUGACUUUUCGUACUAUCCAGGUGCCACCAAGCCAGCCAGCUCCUAGACAAAACCAGUUUAAUAGCGCACCAAGCACUCUAGGGCCAUUGAGUGCUAAUGUUUAAUAGCAGCUCCAGGGCUCAUGGCACAAAGAUCACUCAAGCAAACUCGCAACAAUCGUACUUGAAAGGUUAGAAAUAGUAAACAUGUUACAAAAUAUAGGAUUGUAUUUGUCAAAGUAUGCAGGCAUCAAGACAGGAAGAUGGAUGAUCACUAGCGAGGAGGCAAGGAAUCUGUUUUCAGUUAUACUUUUGCAGUUUUCCCCUGGCUUACUUUUUCCAAUCAUUCAAUAACACUUUUAACUAUGUUUUUUGCAUUCCAAAUUCAUUGGCUGCUGGUUCCAUAAGUAGUUUGGUGGGCUCUGGUUACAUGACAUAUCUGUUAAUUUAACGAGGUGAAUGCGUGGUGCUGUGUGAAGUCAUGUAUUUUGACCAGGUGAAUUUGGGAAGCUGUCUGGAAGUACUGCAAGUUGACCAGGUGAAUUGGGGAAGCUGUCUGGAAGUACUGCAAAAACAUGGUCUUCAGUGUUGUUAUACUCCUACAAGGCACUCUAGGGAGCCGUGGUCAAUACAGUUUGAGAGCUCUAGUGAAGUAAUUGCUGUUCUAAUUUGUCUGCCGGGAUCAUGUUUUCUGUUUUGACUGAAAUACAUAUUCUGACUACUGUUUUGAUGCUGAAAUCUUGGUGUACGCUUGAUCUGGUGGGUGCUCUGUUUCACUGGGUACUAGGAUGUGGGACGCCAUGAACGCUUGGAUCUGGUGGACACUCCACUCUGUUUCAGUGGGUGUGUGUACUGAUGUGGGGUGUCAUGGAAUCAGAUCUUAACGCAGGCCGUACAUGUGCCACUUUCCUAAUUACUCGGAAAUACUGCCGACGAGUAAAUCAGGAAGACUUGCCGAUACGAGAAAAAACGAGGACUACCAAGAUCUGAUGCAGAUAAGGGGGAAAAAGAGAGGGGAGGGGAUCUGAUACCUUCGUUCUGGUUAUUAACGGCGAGGCGCCUGCUGGUUGGCGGCCCUCCGCCCCUUUCCCCUGCUCGAAGCAAGCUCUGCGUCCCGGUCAUACUUUUCUUUCUUGGCUCGCUCCCGGGCUGCUUGCUCUUGCUUAAUUUUUGUCUCGCAUGUGAGGACGUGCUUGUUUAGACGCGUAGGUCAUCCAGGACUUCGCCGCAGUGCACACACCUGAAAAUACCCAUCGGACAGCGGCGGUGGCGGCGGCGGUGGGAUUUUAGAUCUGAAACAGGGCGGCGCUGGAUGGGGUACUACAGUAGGUCUACGAGGUGAUAGGUAGCCAGCUUGCUAUUUUAAUCGGGGUUGGGUAUUUAGGGCAUGUCCGAAACGACCCUUAGGCUGCUUCUGGAAUGUUGUAUUUCUGCCAUCUCUGUAAUAUUUACACUUGUAUUAUACCAGCCUUUAAUCAAAUACAUGUCACAUAAUCUUCAGCUUGGAAUGUUGUUUUUUUCCCACCCCCGAUUUUCAAAAACACAAACUUUUAACAACAGCAACAUAGAGUGCACUUUUAACAACACAAAUUUUCAAAUACACACAUAUAGACUUUUCAAUAGCACAGACUGCACUUCCACACAUAUUGCACAAGUAUAAAAUGAGCUAAUUUUUUUCUUUUUAUAACAGUGUCACAACAUAAAAAAUUAAUAUUUUUGCAAUCAUCCAUUCGGACAUAGUUUCGAUAACUCAUAGUGCUCAAAAUUAGCAGUUUAAAUUAU